GACGAACGCUGGCGGCGUGCUUAACACAUGCAAGUCGAGCGGUAAGGCCCUUUCGGGGUACGACGAGCGGCGAACGGGUGAGUAACACGUGGGUGACCUGCCCUCAGCUCUGGGAGUAAGCCUGGGAAACCGGGUCUAAUACUGGAUAUGACUCCAUGACGCAUGUUGUGGGGUGGAAAGCCUUGUGCGGCUGAGGAUGGGCCCGCGGCCUAUCAGCUUGUUGGUGGGGUGANGGCCUACCAAGGCGACGACGGGUAGCCGGCCUGAGAGGGCGACCGGCCACACUGGGACUGAGACACGGCCCAGACUCCUACGGGAGGCAGCAGUGGGGAAUCUUGCGCAAUGGGCGAAAGCCUGACGUAGCGACGCCGCGUGAGGGAUGACGGCU
rnacentral:rRNA from 1 species